AUUGAACGCUGGCGGCAGGCCUAACACAUGCAAGUCGAGCGGAGCGGCGGACGGGUGAGUAAUGCCUAGGACUCUGCCUGGUAGUGGGGGAUAACGUCCGGAAACGGGCGCUAAUACCGCAUACUAUCCGCAGAGCCUAGGUCGGAUUAGCUAGUUGGUGGGGUAACGGCUCACAAAGGCGACGAUCCGUAACUGGUCUGAGAGGAGGAUCAGUCACACUGGAACUGAGACACGGUCCAGACUCCUACGGGAGGCAGCAGUGGGGAAUAUUGCACAAUGGGCGAAAGCCUGAUCCAGCCAUGCCGCGUGUGUGAAGAAGGCCUUCGGAUUGUAAAGCACUUUAAGCGGGGAGGCGUUACCAACAGAAGAAGCACCGGCUAACUCCGUGCCAGCAGCCGCGGUAAUUC
rnacentral:rRNA from 1 species